UUAAUAAAAACCAAAUUUGAGGUUUUUCACUGUUAAUGAAAAUAUUGCAAUAUAUUGCUUAUUAAA
rnacentral:tRNA from 1 species